GGAGAGACAAAGAGGAGGAGGGCGAGCGAGGCACCAUGCUGAGGAGGAAGAGGAGCGUGUCGUUCGGAGGCUUCGGAUGGAUUGAUAAGUCUACAGUCAGCACGCUGAGAGCUCGCAAACAGGAGCUCCUCACCAUCUCCAAUGUUCCUGUGGCUGACGCCCCCCCCUCUCCGCCCCGCACCGCCCCCCCCACCAUGAAGUCGGCGCAUUUCUUUGACACGAUGGACAAGAUGGAGCAGGUGCCAGAAGCUGCAGAGAUGAAGACAAUCCCUCAGAGACAGAAGGACGACUACAUCCCUUAUCCGAGGAUCGAGGAGGUGUUGGAGAGGGGCGGGGCAUACCCUCAGGUGAUCCUACCUGAGUUUGGAGGCUACUGGAUCGAGGAUCCUGAUGCUCCUCCUCCUGCAGACAGCAGGGGGAAGGAGGAGGUGGAGGAGGAAGAGACCGCCCCAGGGGAUUAUGGGUACCGUCUGGAGGAGAUCAACGAGGCUGCUCGGGCGUACAGGAAGCACUUCUUGGGCAGGGAGCAUUUAAACUUCUCGUGCUCAUCGAGCAGCGUGGGAAACCUGCUGCUGUCUGUGAGACACGAGCAGGAGAAGGAGCACGAGCACCUCCUCGUCAUCAUCAGAUCUCGGGUGAAAAGCGUCUACCACAGAUUAUCUCUGGCAGAGCUGCCGGACAUCCCAAGCGUACCAGAGCUGGCCAAGCUGCUGUGCGACGAGGCGGCAGGUCUGCGGUUCAGUCCCGUCCUGUACCCGAAGGCGUCUCAGCUAAUAGUGAACUAUGAUGAGCACGAGGUGAACAACACCUACAAGUUUGGAGUCAUCUACCAGAGAUUUGGUCAGGUGUCCGAGGAGGAGCUGUUCAGGAACAACGAGGAAACGCCGGCUUUCACAGAGUUCCUGCAGCUGCUGGGAGACACAGUGGAUCUGCAGGACUUCAAAGGGUUUCGGGGGGGUCUGGAUGUGUCUCACGGUCAGACGGGCUCUCAGUCCAUCUACACGGUCCACCGGCAGCAGGAGAUCAUGUUCCACGUGUCCACCAAGCUGCCCUUCACCGAGGGAGACGCCCAGCAGCUGCAGAGGAAACGGCACAUCGGAAAUGACAUCGUGGCGCUGGUUUUUCAAGAAGAGGCCACGCCUUUCGUCCCCGACAUGAUCGCCUCCAACUUCCUCCACGCCUUCGUCGUGGUGCAGGCGGAGGAGCCGUGCUCUGAGACCACCUCCUACAAGGUUUCCGUCACAGCACGAGAGGACGUCCCGCCCUUUGGCCCGCCCCUCGCCGCCCCUGUCUUUAAAAAGGGUCCAGAGUUCAGAGAGUUUCUUCUCACCAAACUCAUCAACGCAGAGCUGGCCUGCUACAAGAGCGACCGCUUCGCCCGACUCGAGGAGCGAACCCGCGCCGCCCUCCUGGACAGCCUCCAUGACGAGCUGCAGAGACGCUCCCAGAGCAUGCUGGGAUUGACGCCAGGGCCGGAGGAGGAGGGGCGAGGGGAGAACGGACAGGCCCACGGAGGACUGCUGGAGUCCAUCAAGAGGGCGAUGCGAGGGAGGAGCGUCUCCAUGGAGACCAUGUCGAGGGGCGGGGUUGGACUGCCCACCAGUUUGAGUGGGGGGGGUCUGGCGCACCUGAACGUGGAGUGUAACGUCAAGUCUCCCGUGAAGCGGCGCUCGGGACUUUUUCCUCGCCUGCUGAGCGUCGACAGCCAAACAGAGAAGCACAGCCAGAGGAGCCUCCUCGGUGAGCAGAGGAGCUUCGACGGCUGCAACCCGAUGCUCGAGGUGAGGCCAGAGUUGCCGUCCAAUCCUAGCUCUCCAGAGGCGGGGCAGCGGGACAGCAGGAUCCACACGAAGAAGGAGAGCAGUAAGAUCUCCAGGUCGACGUCCAGCACCUGCAGCUUCAGCAUCCCAGCUGACGACGCACACCUGGCUGCGACGGCAGAAGGUCAGAGUUCAGCUCCGGUCAUCGUGUGCCGCAGCCCCACAGAGCUGAGGAACAAGAACUCGCCCAGAUCCAACCUGAAGUUUCGCUUCGACAAGCUGAGCCACUCCGCCGCCGGACACUGAGCCGACAGGACGGCGCUGACAGGUGUGUGCGUUCCCAGAAGUCCGCUUUUCAAUCCCAUUUUUCAAAGUGCUGCUUCUGUCACUCUGUUCUGCUUCUGAGUCUACUUCCUGCUUUAUUUUGAAAAAUAAAAGCCUGAAGCUUCAAACAGACAGCAGGAGGAGGAGGAGGAGGAAGAGGAGGGUCUCCUGAUGGACCACCACACACACAUACUUGUCUUUCUGUCUUUGUGAGGACCCCGAGUGCAGCUCUCCUGUUUCUGUUUUUUUUCUUCUCAUCUUCUGCACAAACCAUAAAAUCCUUUCUGAACAUAAACGUAUCAGGACACUGAACUUCUUUUUAAACCGUGCUGGAGCUCUUCCUGUUUGCGCUUCAUUCAGUGUAACAUGUAGCUGUAGAAACUUCAUUUAUCACAGAAACAGCAGCAGCUCUUAAAACUUUACUUUAAUGAGCAGUUUGGUUUACGUGGAAACAAACUGAUGAUGAGUAGCUCCAAACACCAGGGGGCGCUGCAGAGAGGGGCUGAGAAUCCACCCAAAGGAGCCGAGCAGCUGAGCUUCCCUGAGGGGCAGCGGUUGAUGCCCCUCUCCCAAACACCGCUGAGGUGCUCGCAUCCACACGUCCUCUCUCCAAGUAUUUCAACCAAAACAAGAAAAACAAAAACACCGCGGGAGCUCAACGUUUGGGGAUUCACUCGUAUCAGCGGCAACCACAAGAACUGUAACGCCCCGCCCCCUGUCUCCCUGUGAGAUGAUUGGUCCUCAGUGCCGUUUAGUCUUUUUGUCCCCCCGAGGUGCCUGGUCCUGGACACGAGGCCUUUAUCACCCUAAAGUUUGUGACUCUGAUGGUUUCUCAACACAGACGCCGGUGUGACGUCAUAAAGAUCCAAGUACAGAAAAACUGUGGUAAAGCUCGUAAUUAGAGAUGUUAUGUUUGUUACGAACGCGUGAACGGGGAGGAGCUGCUCGAUCUGCGCGUCCACGGUCUGUGGGGUUUAUUCUUAUUAAUAACAAAUAAUAACACGUGGCUGCGGGUUCAGACAGACGCUGCCGUUCUCCACGCACACUGUAACGCCGUGAGCUCAGCUGAGCUCCACCUGAACCUUUUUAAACUGCUGCGGCACACAGGGUCCGAGCGACGGGGCUCAGGUGGGCGGUGCUGCAGGUGAGUCAGAGAGGUGGCGCUGCUGGAGGUCAGGGAGAAGAAGAAGCUUUGCUCUCCCUCUCUGAGGGACAAUCGCACCAAUCACGUCGAGUCUCGAGGUCACUCACUCCACUGGAAGCUGCGCAGCUACAGGAGUUCAGGUUUUCAAAAUAAAAGCUCUGGUUUGUUUUAAAAGAGGGACGAUGAUGCAGCAUGGACACAAAGAUGUCUGCAUGUGUUUCUGAUGUCAUAAAGUGUGUGUGUGUGUGUGUGUGUGUGUGUGUGUGUGUGUGAGAUGUAA